rnacentral:rRNA from 1 species
UAGGGAAUAUUGGGCAAUGGGCGAGAGCCUGACCCAGCCAUGCCGCGUGCAGGAUGAAGGCUUUCUGAGUCGUAAACUGCUUUUGACAGGGAAGAAUAAGCCUUACGUGUAAGGUGAUGACGGUACCUGCAGAAUAAGCACCGGCUAACUCCGUGCCAGCAGCCGCGGUAAUACGGAGGGUGCGAGCGUUGUCCGGAUUUAUUGGGUUUAAAGGGUGCGUAGGCGGCUUUUUAAGUCUGGGGUGAAAGCCCGUUGCUCAACAACGGAACUGCCCUGGAUACUGGAGAGCUUGAGUACAGACGAGGUUGGCGGAAUGGACUGAGUAGCGGUGAAAUGCAUAGAUACAGUCCAGAACCCCGAUUGCGAAGGCAGCUGACUAGGCUGUUACUGACGCUGAGGCACGAAAGCGUGGGGAGCGAACAG